rnacentral:rRNA from 1 species
UAUGACUACCACUCCGAAUGUGUCCAAUCUUGUCUGAUCAGGGAAGCAAAGUAGGGUCAGGCCUGUUUAGUACUUGGGUGGGAGAAGGGAAAGAUAAGCAUUCAUAC